AACGAACGCUGGCGGCAGGCCUAACACGUGCAAGUCGAACGCUCCGCAAGGAGAGUGGCAGACGGGUGAGUAACACGUGGGAAUCUUCCUAUCGGUACGGAAUAGCUCAGGGAAACUUGAGGUAAUACCGCAUACGCCCUUCGGGGGAAAGAUUUAUCGCCGAUCGAUGAGCCCGCGUCUGAUUAGCUAGUUGGUGGGGUAAUGGCCUACCAAGGCGACGAUCAGUAGCUGGUCCGAGAGGAUGACCAGCCACACUGGGACUGAGACACGGCCCAGACUCCUACGGGAGGCAGCAGUGGGGAAUAUUGGACAAUGGGCGCAAGCCUGAUCCAGCCAUGCCGCGUGAGUGACGAAGGUCUUCGGAUUGUAAAGCUCUUUUGCCAGGGACGAUAAUGACGGUACCUGGAGAAUAAGCCCCGGCUAACUUCGUGCCAGCCGCCGCCGUAACAC
rnacentral:rRNA from 1 species